AUAUAUAUAUGUAUAUAGCGUGUAACGUUGUCUCGUUAAUACGCGGCGUCGUGCUGGCAAUCGGAUCAAACGUUAAGCCAGUCCAGACAGGCAGACUAGAUUAGGAAGGGUUAACCAACGUAGCGGUGAUUUAAAUCAAUGACGGCGGCACAUCUGCUGGCAGAGAUUAAUGAUUAGACGCACGAGAACGAAGCCUGAAACUCGGCGCUUUCAGAGAUCGGACAGAUUAGAAACUAAUUUAACGAGCUGCUUUCAUCGUGCGAUCCAAUAUUCAUCUCGAUCCCUUUUAACCGUAUCGCGCUGAUACCAUCCACUGUCGAUUGAUCGCGAUAUUUCUUCUUCCCCCUCCACUUUAAAAACAUCCACGUACCAUACGG